AAAAAAUAAAAAAGUAACAAAAUUUGUGAAAACUAUGCAUCAUUUUGAAUUAGCUACUCAACCUUUCAAAAUUCAAUUCGUCUGAUUUGAGUUAGUCAAUGUAUUUUAAUUUUAAAUUUUAAAUUAAUUUUUAUUUUAAUAAAUUUAUAGUUGCGAGAAUUGCGUAAAUUAUACAAAUUAAACAUGUAAAGAUAAAUAAUACAUUCAAUUUUUGAAAUCAAAAUAUUGUUCAUUGAUUCAAAUCAAAUAAAUUGAAAAGUUGGAUAGUAAAAUCAAAAUUUUGAAAGGUUGGAUAGCCGAAUCAAAAUGGUCCAUAGUUUAGAUAAGUUCUAUACAUUUUUAUUUUUUUAAAUAUAAUUAUCUAUAUACCCCUCAGAACUUCUGAAAUAUCUUAUAUACCUUUUUUUUGUUUCAAAUAAACCCUAUGUAUAUUUCUCCGUUAUUCAAAAAUAACUUCAUUGUUAGUAUCAAUUAAGUUAUCUCAUGUUAAAUCCAAUUUAAAUUUCUAUUAAAGUUAAAAAAAUCAAAAUAUCUUUUUUGUCCCUAUCUUAAGGGCAAAUAAAAAAAUUGAUGAUCAUAAAAGAGUAUAUUUGAAAGGGCAAAGUAGUAAUUUUAUAGAGAUAACGACUAUUGAAUCUAACUCUUGUGAUAUAUUUGAAAAAAUUUGAAACAUAAAAAAAUAUUUUUUUGUAUUAGCCCUCUAAGCAGGGUAAAUAAAAAGUCUAAAAUUUUUAGCAGUGUAUAAGCAGUUGCUCCCCAAAAAAAAGGGGUAAAGUAGAGA
rnacentral:lncRNA from 1 species